rnacentral:rRNA from 1 species
CACGUAGGGACCAAGCGUUGUCCGGAUUUAUUGGGCGUAAAGAGCUCGUAGGCGGUUCCGCAAGUCGGGUGUGAAAACUCUGGGCUUAACCCAGAGCCUGCAUCCGAUACUGCGGUGGCUAGAGUCCGGUAGGGGAGUGGGGAAUUCCUAGUGUAGCGGUGAAAUGCGCAGAUAUUAGGAGGAACACCGGUGGCGAAGGCGCCACUCUGGGCCGGUACUGACGCUGAGGAGCGAAAGCGUGGGUAGCAAACAGG